rnacentral:rRNA from 1 species
GAUGAACGCUGGCGGCGUGCUUAACACAUGCAAGUCGAACGGAAAGGCUCCUGCUUGCAGGGGUACUCGAGUGGCGAACGGGUGAGUAACACGUGGGUGAUCUGCCCUGCACUUCGGGAUAAGCCUGGGAAACUGGGUCUAAUACCGGAUAGGACGAUGGUUUGGAUGCCAUUGUGGAAAGUUUUUCGGUGUGGGAUGAGCUCGCGGCCUAUCAGCUUGUUGGUGGGGUAAUGGCCUACCAAGGCGUUGACGGGUAGCCGGCCUGUGAGGGUGUACGGCCACAUUGGGACUGAGAUACGGCCCAGACUCCUACGGGAGGCAGCAGUGGGGAAUAUUGCACAAUGGGCUCAAGCCUGAUGCAGCGACGCCGCGUGGGGGAUGACGGCCUUCGGGUUGUAAACUCCUUUCGCUAGGGACGAAGCGCAAGUGACGGUACCUGGAGAAGAAGCACCGGCUAACUACGUG